UGGGGAGCAGGGCCAUAGCGCAUCUGUCAUUCUGAAUUAGAAUUAAAGACUUUCAAGGACUUGGCAUACUGAAACAUGACAGGCAGAAUUACUAGUGAACACGUAACAUGUAUCACACAGGCGAGGUGCUUGCAGUAAGAAUGGAUUAGUGUAGUGUUCUCUCUCUCUCUCUUUUCCCUGGUGAUGUUUUUACAUAAUUAAUGCCUCUUUCUCUCUCUUCCUGCUGAAAUGUGGAAGACAGCUCUUGAUUAAAUAAAUUGUGCAUCAGCUCUCUUGGGUAGCUGGAAAUGCAUCUCACAAUCCCUAAACCAUAGAGGAACAGCUCUUUCAACUCUGUCUGUCUUUCUCCUCCUCUUUUUUCUCAGUCUCUCUUACUGUAUACACUUUAUUUCAUGUCGUCCCAACCUCAUGCAAAGCCUAUGGAGGUAAUGCGUCUGGACCCAAGCAUUCUCGUAUUCCUUGUCUACCUUAUUAUUCUACAUGAGCUAGUGUGCGGUUGGAUGGAAUAUCAGAGGCAGGCAGCCAAGCCGAAGAAGCAAGUAGGUCCUGUCUGGUCCUCUCGAAAUGCCAGAUCAGUGGGGCCUAACACUGUCAGAUCCCUGGGAUUAUCACCAAGAAGAGAACGGUCACGGGACUGGAGGAAGUCUGGGCGGAUUCUAAGAAAAGUUUGAAGGAGUAUUUUUUAUGAUUUAGUAGCAGCUGCUCACAUUUUACCACAAAGUAAUUAAGUCAACAAACUGAAUCCCUGAUUGUCUAGAUAGACUUUGACUACACAAUAUGGACAUGUGUGUGUGUGUGGUACUAUGCAGAACUGCUUUCAUUAGAGGUACCAAUACAUUAUUCCCGCUGUUUGGUUUUCUGAUGUGUUUCUGAGCCAGUAAUCUGCAGCAGAUGUGGAAAAUUAACUCUUUACAUGACUGGAAUGAUUACAGGGUAGUUUUGUAAUGAUUACAUCAAAUUGUAAGUCACACAGACCUUAAUUGUUGAUAAGUUGGUCAGAUAUUGUGCCAAUGAACUCAUAGAAAUUUUGUGGAUUUUAAUCAAUGGUUUAAAUAUAGGAUAUUAGAAAAUAUUAUUUAAAAUGACUCAAGAUCUAAGAAAUGUGCAUCACAUAAUCAGCAUGUAUCUUCUCUUAUAAUCAUAUAGUGUGGCUCUUGAGAGAGGUGCUGUGCUGAUUUUAAUUUGCACUGACACAUUUUGCUACAUUUUGACUGGAUGAAGUCACAGCUCCUUAUGCUACUGGUAAACUACUGAAACAUUUUAACAGUGUGCACUUCCUGGUAUUUGUGUUAGGUUUUCAAUUGAAAUAUCUAUCUGCUUUUGAAAUUGGUAUAUUUAUUUAUCAGUCAGCAAGUAAGUUAAUUUCUGAUUUGUUCCUGUUUUGAUAAGAUGUGAAUGCAUUUUCUUUAACAUUACAGUUGUGCCAGCAUAACACAAGAAAAUAAACAAACUGAAUACCA